GAUGAACGCUGGCGGCGUGCUUAACACAUGCAAGUCGAACGAGAUCUUCGGGUCUAGUGGCGCACGGGUGCGUAACGCGUGGGAAUCUGCCCUUUGGUUCGGAAUAACAGUUGGAAACGACUGCUAAUACCGGAUGAUGACGAAAGUCCAAAGAUUUAUCGCCAGAGGAUGAGCCCGCGUAGGAUUAGCUAGUUGUGGUGGUAAAGGCGCACCAAGGCGACGAUCCUUAGCUGGUCUGAGAGGAUGAUCAGCCACACUGGGACUGAGACACGGCCCAGACUCCUACGGGAGGCAGCAGUGGGGAAUAUUGGACAAUGGGCGAAAGCCUGAUCCAGCAAUGCCGCGUGAGUGAUGAAGGCCUUAGGGUUGUAAAGCUCUUUUACCCGGGAUGAUAAUGACAGUACCGGGAGAAUAAGCUCCGGCUAACUCCGUGCCAGCCGCCGCGGUAAGAC
rnacentral:rRNA from 1 species